rnacentral:rRNA from 1 species
UACGGAGGGUGCAAGCGUUAAUCGGAAUUACUGGGCGUAAAGCGCGCGUAGGCGGCUUGGUCAGUUGGGUGUGAAAGCCCCGGGCUCAACCUGGGAACUGCAGUUGAUACUGGCCGACUAGAGUAUGAAAGAGGGAGGUAGAAUUCCAUGUGUAGCGGUGAAAUGCGUAGAUAUAUGGAGGAAUACCAGUGGCGAAGGCGGCCUCCUGGUUCAAUACUGACGCUGAGGUGCGAAAGCGUGGGGAUCAAACAGG